GGCAUCUCCCAACAGUUGUGCAGGGCUGGAGGUUUGCUCCAGGCUCAGACCAUGGAUGCAGCAGGCCACAAUUACCACUCGCCAUCAUAUGAAGGUAAGCAGUCAUUGCACUCAAGUCCUUCUUGCAGGCCUUUCAAGAAAUUCUAAUUAGUCUGCCAGUUUGUCUGCCUUCCAAACCUCCUUGAUGAGCAGCCCAAGUACAAGACGUUCUUCUUUCUAGCAUUUUAUGGAUUCCCCACACUCUUCUGUCAUUCACCACCUGAUAUACAGCUAUGGGAAGGGUGGCUUGGCUGAACUCGCAGGAUUACUGUACCAUCUUGUAGAAUGGAUUGCAGACAGCUGUGGCCACAGAGCAGGGCAGUGAGGGCCCCUAAUUCAAAAAGGCAACUGUCUCCCAGGUGUAACUGACACACAGAGACUAAAAAAGAAAGAUGAGCUCCCUACACCUGACAGUUUUUUUACUCUUUUCUUCAGCUCAAAGGAAUAAGGCUGAGCCACGUGCUUUAUAGGCCUUGCACAGAAAAAAACCAGAAAGUUGUUCUACUGACCUUCAGCACUCUAGCUCAGUAAACACAAGGCUUCUUUUACUGCACUGACUAGAAGAGAAUAAGUUAGCCACAGACUAUCCCAACCUGGCACUCUCCACAUGUUUUAGACCACCAGCUUCCGUGAUCAUGGACCACUGACUGUGCUGGAUGGGACUGAUAGCAGUUGGAGUACAACAACAUCUGGAGAAGGCUGGUUGACCUUGCCUCUUGACCAUCACAAGAUGCACACAAAGAAUCCCAUCUCCCCACCUUGAAGAACUUGCAUUUUCCACUAGAGAACCACACGGACUUCCCUAGGAACAGUACUAUUUUUCUAGAAAAAGAGAUGCCAGAACUGAGUUCCAGUGAGUUCUGGCUGAAGAAAAGCCCUGCCUAGGAGGCUUGAGAAAGGACUGAGGAAAACAUUGGCAAAUCACGAGCCUGUCUCAUUCUGCAUCCACAGUAUGAAGCAGAGGAUUUGCCCUGGUUUCAAACGGGUAUAUCUCUCUAUGUUCCUAAUGGGUUUAUAAUGAGCACAGGUUUUUCCUCAUACAGUCCCUAUUGAGAACAUAAUAAAAGCUCUACAGGGAAUGAAUCUGGCCAGUGGGUCAGGCAUUUCCCAUGUGUCAAGUCUGAUGGGUGGGCAAGGAGCACAGUCCUGAUUUUCAGUGCGGUUUCCCCCCCUAAACUAAAAUGUCCCAAAUGCUGUAACCUUUCCUCACAGUGGAGCUGCUUGCUGAACCAAAAACACCUCCAAAUUCACUGGAGUUUGUGAAGUAGAUCCCAUUCCAGAUUCCACUCAGCCAAAGAAUUAAAUCAAUGCAGUUUACAAUAAUUUUCAGUUGUGCAACACCCCUGUUUUUGGAGCUCAUUCCAAAGGGAGACCUAUGUAACGCUGACAUUGUGGAUCUUUCAGAAAAAGAAUGAGAAAUUCUCCAUUCCAGCAAGUCUUGGGCUGCCAUUCCACAGGCACAACUGAAUUAUGUGCUCUUAGAGUGAUUUUCGGCAUCUUUUGCUACUGCUGUUAUGCAUUCCACCCUAAGCAUUUAGCUCAAUAGAGAGCUAUUGGGCCCAGUCACAGUUCAACAUGGAGCUUUUCAAUAAUUUUCAGCAGUCAUUGGUUCAUAGCAGAAUGCAAACUGUAUGAUUUCUCCCAUGUGGACUCAAGCAUGACAGUGCUGAAAACAACUUGAAGAAUUCUGGAUGGCAUAUCACUGUGGGCUCCCAGGGCUCCAAGAAACUACCAGUAACUCUGCUUACAUGUUUUAGAGCACCAGCAGCAGUCUUGAAUUUUGGUUACAAGAACCCAUCAUUUGCUUUGUGUUUAUUUAACGCAUUUAAAUGAUUUUAUGUCACUUUUCUAUUAAACAUUCCAAGAGGUUUACACAAUAAAAAAAACUCACAGAGAGAA